GACGUAGGGUCCAAGCGUUGUCCGGAUUUACUGGGCGUAAAGAGCGCGUAGGCGGUCUGUUAAGUGUAGAGUGAAAUCCCCAGGGCUCAACCCGGAAACUGCUCUGCAUACUGGCAGACUGGAGGGUCGGAGAGGUGUAUGGAAUUCCUGGUGUAGCGGUGAAAUGCGUUGAUAUCAGGAGGAACACCCAUGGCGAAGGCAGUACACUGGCCGGCAUCUGACGCUGAUGCGCGAAAGCGUGGGUAGCAAACAGG
rnacentral:rRNA from 1 species